UGGGGAAUUUUGGACAAUGGGCGAAAGCCUGAUCCAGCAAUGCCGCGUGUGUGAAGAAGGCCUUCGGGUUGUAAAGCACUUUUGUCCGGAAAGAAAUCCUUGGCUCUAAUACAGUCGGGGGAUGACGGUACCGGAAGAAUAAGCACCGGCUAACUACGUGCCAGCAGCCGCGGUAAUACGUAGGGUGCAAGCGUUAAUCGGAAUUACUGGGCGUAAAGCGUGCGCAGGCGGUUUGCUAAGACCGAUGUGAAAUCCCCGGGCUCAACCUGGGAACUGCAUUGGUGACUGGCAGGCUAGAGUAUGGCAGAGGGGGGUAGAAUUCCACGUGUAGCAGUGAAAUGCGUAGAGAUGUGGAGGAAUACCGAUGGCGAAGGCAGCCCCCUGGCAAGUACUGACGCUCAUGCACGAAAGCGUGGGGAGCAAACAGGAUUAGAUACCCUGGUAGUCCACGCCCUAAACGAUGUCAACUAGUUGUUGGGGGAUUCAUUUCCUUAGUAACGUAGCUAACGCGUGAAGUUGACCGCCUGGGGGAGUACGGUCGCAAGAUUAAAACUCAAAUGAAUUGA
rnacentral:rRNA from 1 species